UACGUAGGUGGCGAGCGUUAUCCGGAAUUACUGGGUGUAAAGGGUGUGUAGGCGGGUAUUCAAGUCAGGCGUGAAAAUCAUGGGCUUAACCCAUGACUUGCGCUUGAGACUGUAUAUCUUGAGUGUGGGAGAGGUAAGUGGAAUUCCUAGUGUAGCGGUGAAAUGCGUAGAUAUUAGGAGGAACACCAGUGGCGAAGGCGACUUACUGGACCAUAACUGACGCUGAGACACGAAAGCGUGGGGAGCAAAC
rnacentral:rRNA from 1 species